rnacentral:rRNA from 1 species
UACGUAGGGUGCAAGCGUUAAUCGGAAUUACUGGGCGUAAAGCGCGCGCAGGCGGUCUUCCAAGUCAGUGGUGAAAGCCCGGAGCUCAACUCCGGAACUGCCAUUGAAACUGUUAGACUUGAGGACGAGAGAGGUGAGUGGAAUUCCCAGUGUAGAGGUGAAAUUCGUAGAUAUUGGGAAGAACACCGGUGGCGAAGGCGGCUCACUGGCUCGUAUCUGACGCUCAGGCGCGAUAGCGUGGGGAUCAAACAGG